rnacentral:rRNA from 1 species
CAGCCGUAAACGAUGCUCGCUAGGUGUCAGGCAUGGCGCGACCGUGUCUGGUGCCGCAGGGAAGCCGUGAAGCGAGCCACCUGGGAAGUACGGCCGCAAGGCUGAAACUUAAAGGAAUUGGCGGGGGAGCACAACAACGGGUGGAGCCUGCGGUUUAAUUGGACUCAACGCCGGAAAUCUUACCGGGACCGACAGCAAUAUGAAGGCCAGGCUGAAGACUUUGCCGGAUUAGCUGAGAGGAGGUGCAUGGCGUAGACGUCU